rnacentral:rRNA from 1 species
GGGGAAUAUUGCACAAUGGGGGAAACCCUGAUGCAGCGACGCCGCGUGAGUGAAGAAGUAUUUCGGUAUGUAAAGCUCUAUCAGCAGGAAAGAAAAUGACGGUACCUGACUAAGAAGCCCCGGCUAACUACGUGCCAGCAGCCGCGGUAAUACGUAGGGGGCAAGCGUUAUCCGGAUUUACUGGGUGUAAAGGGAGCGUAGACGGUAGUACAAGUCUGAAGUGAAAUGCGGGGGCUCAACCCCUGAACUGCUUUGGAAACUGUAUUACUAGAGUGCAGGAGAGGUAAGUGGAAUUCCUAGUGUAGCGGUGAAAUGCGUAGAUAUUAGGAGGAACACCAGUGGCGAAGGCGGCUUUCUGGACUGUAACUGACACUGAGGCUCGAAAGCGUGGGGAGCGAACAGGAUUAGAUACCCUGGUAGUCCCUGAGACUCGACGA